rnacentral:rRNA from 1 species
AGAGUUUGAUCCUGGCUCAGGAUGAACGCUAGCGGCAGGCUUAACACAUGCAAGUCGAGGGGCAGCAUGUCCAGCAAUGGAUGAUGGCGACCGGCGGAAGGGUGCGUAACGCGUGAGCAACAUGCCCUAUACAGGGAGAUACACCAGGGAAACUUGGUCUAAUAUCCCAUAGCAUUCAUUGAAGGCAUCUUUAAUGAAUUAAAGCUUCGGUGGUAUAGGAUUGGCUCGCGUGACAUUAGCCAGAUGGUGAGGUAACGGCUCACCAUAGCAAUGAUGUCUAGGGGUUUUGAGAGGAAGGCCCCCCACACUGGGACUGAGACACGGCCCAGACUCCUACGGGAGGCAGCAGUGAGGAAUAUUGGACAAUGGACGGAAGUCUGACCGAGCAACGCCGCGUGAGUGAAGAAGGUUUUCGGAUCGUAAAACUCUGUUGUUAGAGAAGAACAAGGAUGAGAGUAGAAUGUUCAUCCCUUGGCGGUAUCUAACCAGAAAGCCACGGCUAACUACGUGCCAGCAGCCGCGGUAAUACGUAGGUGGCAAGCGUUGUCCGGAUUUAUUGGGCGUAAAGCGAGCGCAGGCGGUUUCUUAAGUCUGAUGUGAAAGCCCCCGGCUUAACCGGGGAGGGUCAUUGGAAACUGGGAGACUUGAGUGCAGAAGAGGAGAGUGGAAUUCCAUGUGUAGCGGUGAAAUGCGUAGAUAUAUGGAGGAACACCAGUGGCGAAGGCGACUCUCUGGUCUGUAACUGACGCUGAGGCUCGAAAGCGUGGGGAGCAAACAGGAUUAGAUACCCUGGUAGUCCACGCCGUAAACGAUGAGUGCUAAGUGUUGGAGGGUUUCCGCCCCUCAGUGCUGCAGCUAACGCAUUAAGCACUCCGCCUGGGGAGUACGGCCGCAAGGCUGAAACUCAAAGGAAUUGACGGGGGCCCGCACAAACGGUGGAGCAUGUGGUUUAAUUCGAAGCAACGCGAAGAACCUUACCAGGUCUUGACAUCCUUUGACCACUCUAGAGAUAGAGCUUUCCCUUCGGGGACAAAGUGACAGGUGGUGCAUGGUUGUCGUCAGCUCGUGUCGUGAGAUGUUGGGUUAAGUCCCGCAACGAGCGCAACCCUUAUUGUUAGUUGCCAUCAUUUAGUUGGGCACUCUAGCGAGACUGCCGGUGACAAACCGGAGGAAGGUGGGGAGGACGUCAAAUCAUCAUGCCCCCUAUGACCUGGGCUACACACGUGCUACAAUGGGAAGUACAACGAGUCGCAAAGUCGCGAGGCUAAGCUAAUCUCUUAAAACUUCUCUCAGUUCGGAUUGUAGGCUGCAACUCGCCUACAUGAAGCCGGAAUCGCUAGUAAUCGCGGAUCAGCACGCCGCGGUGA